rnacentral:rRNA from 1 species
CCUUUAAUUGAACGCUGGCGGAAUGCUUUACACAUGCAAGUCGAACGGCAGCAUAGGUGCUUGCACCUGAUGGCGAGUGGCGAACGGGUGAGUAAUACAUCGGAACGUGCCCAGUCGUGGGGGAUAACGUAGCGAAAGUUACGCUAAUACCGCAUACGAUCUACGGAUGAAAGCGGGGGACCGUAAGGCCUCGCGCGAUUGGAGCGGCCGAUGUUAGAUUAGGUAGUUGGUGGGGUAAAGGCUCACCAAGCCGACGAUCUAUAGCUGGUCUGAGAGGAUGAUCAGCCACACUGGGACUGAGACACGGCCCAGACUCCUACGGGAGGCAGCAGUGGGGAAUUUUGGACAAUGGGCGCAAGCCUGAUCCAGCCAUUCCGCGUGCAGGACGAAGGCCUUCGGGUUGUAAACUGCUUUUGUACAGAACGAAAAGGCUCUGGUUAAUACCUGGGGCUCAUGACGGUACCGUAAGAAUAAGCACCGGCUAACUACGUG